CGUCAGCGCCUUCAGGCCGCCGAAAGCCAGCGACAGAUUGCUGACGUUCAACUCGGCCGACGAUGACGCAUCACGAUCCCGCAUCGUCAUGCUGCGCUCCGCGCGAUCAGCCCAUCGAUAUCCGGACGCACCGGAUUCCCCAACCCUGUCACCACGAUCUCCCCCUAUGUAUUCCCCGGCGCUUUCAGCGCUCUUUUGGCGAAGUGUUUUUAAGACACCGUCCUCAUCGCUUUUGUUGCGCCAACAGCGCAUGUUCCAUGUACAUCCGCUCCACAGGC
rnacentral:misc_RNA from 1 species